CUUACAGAGAUACCACACACACACUCUCAGUUUCUAUGGAUUUACAAUAGCAAAACCUCUCAGAUUCUUGAAAAAUCCUAUAUAAUGUGUUUUAUGGAAGCAAAAUGUCAGUGUCCUUUAGUUCAAGCAAUAAAACUCAAUCUCAAAUAGAAAUUGGCUGUGUUUUUAAGCAUUAUUCAUCAUCAUAAACUACCGAGAAUUGCUCAGUUCAUCUUCUUCAGGCAGAGAAGAGGACAGUAGAAUGAUCAGAGCAUUGACUGAGUGGAAUGGGGCAGGUAAGAAAAACCAGUGACCACACUCUGUUCAGCCCAUGUCCAUUCUGCUCUGGAAAGCUUCUCAGGCAUAUGCUUGAAAGGAAAGCAUGUCUGACAGUACUGAAACACAAGAAAUAA
rnacentral:lncRNA from 1 species